rnacentral:rRNA from 1 species
GAUGAACGCUGGCGGCGUGCCUAAUACAUGCAAGUCGAGCGAACGGACGAGAAGCUUGCUUCUCUGCUGUUAGCGGCGGACGGGUGAGUAACACGGGGAUAACCUACCUACAAGACUGGGAUAACUUCGGGAAACCGUAGCUAAUACCGGAUAAUAUUGUGAACCGCAUGGUUCAAAAGUGAAAGACGGUCUUGCUGUCACUUAUAGAUGGAUCCGCGCUGCAUUAGCUAGUUGGUAAGGUAACGGCUUACCAAGGCAACGAUGCAUAGCCGACCUGAGAGGGUGAUCGGCCCACCUGGAACUGCGACACGGUCCAGACUCCUACGGGAGGCAGCAGUAGGGAAUCUUCCGCAAUGGGCGGAAGCCUGACGGAGCAACCCCGCGUGAGUGAUGACGGUCUUCGGAUCGUAACACUCUGUUAUUCGGGAAGAACAUAUGUGUAAGUAACUGUGAGCAUCUUGACGGUAACUAAUCAGAAAGCCACGGCUAACUCCGUG